rnacentral:lncRNA from 1 species
AGCUUCGUUGACACCUCGAGUGCAUACAUCCAUUUUACCUUGAACUUUGUCCGUUGGAAGAGACCCUUUGAGGCAAGAUUGCUUCUUCCAAGGUUAGUUACUGGGAUUCUGCAUAUUUGCUCUGGAUGCAUUAUGCUUAUAAGCUAUAAGGCAUGUAUGUUAGUUAACCGUUUUUUCCCAUAUUUGAGUUUGAUUGGAUUUUAUGUUUGAGUAGGAAGACUGAGGCAUGCCCAUUUUCUUCUCUGGUUUUUGAUUGCCGAAACCUGGUAUAAGAAAUGAGUUGUUUACUGUGUUCAUUUUCGUUAUUUUUUGUGCUGUCAAAUUUAUGAAAUGUGACUCAUUUGGAAAUUUCUUAUAUAAUAUUAUUUAAGUGUUUGUUAUUAUGUGUUGUUUGUUGAUUUUGCUGGCUUUACUUAUCCACUUUGAGCUGGAUAUUUGUGACUGUCAUUUCGACGAAUCAGGAAACUUGACGAAUCUGAAUUUUGAAACUGAUUUUAUUAGGCAUACGUAUUUUGAAGUAAUAUUUGUCUACAUUCAACAUUAUUUGUGUACUUCAUUUCCUUAACAUAUCUCUAUGGGUUGUCCAGCUGAAGGAAUAUGAUUGGAGGUAUUCAGAAGUCCCAAUCCUUAUUCAAGUAGGAAUUCAUAUAUAACAUGAAGUUGAAGUUUACAUCAUAGCUACAGUGGUAGCAGGUUCACUUAGGUUGCAUUGCUGAAGAAUGAAGUUGGUAUGUGGUAACUCUGAAUAAUUGAGUUAGUUUUCAC